GGUUAAGUUAGAAAGGGCGCACGGUGGAUGCCUUGACACUAGGAGUCGAUGAAGGACGGGACUAACGCCGAUAUGCUUCGGGGAGCUGUAAGUAAGCUUUGAUCCGAAGAUUUCCGAAUGGGGAAACCCACCAUACGUAAUGGUAUGGUAUCCUUAUCUGAAUACAUAGGGUAAGGAAGACAGACCCAGGGAACUGAAACAUCUAAGUACCUGGAGGAAGAGAAAGCAAAUGCGAUUUCCUGAGUAGCGGCGAGCGAAACGGAACAUAGCCCAAACCAAGAGGCUUGCCUCUUGGGGUUGUAGGACAUUCUAUACGGAGUUACAAAGGAACGAGGUAGACGAAGCGACCUGGAAAGGUCCGUCGUAGAGGGUAACAACCCCGUAGUCGAAACUUCGUUCUCUCUUGAAUGUAUCCUGAGUACGGCGGAACACGUGAAAUUCCGUCGGAAUCUGGGAGGACCAUCUCCCAAGGCUAAAUACUCCCUAGUGAUCGAUAGUGAACCAGUACCGUGAGGGAAAGGUGAAAAGCACCCCGGAAGGGGAGUGAAAGAGAUCCUGAAACCGUGUGCCUACAAAUAGUCAGAGCCCGUUAACGGGUGAUGGCGUGCCUUUUGUAGAAUGAACCGGCGAGUUACGAUCCCGUGCGAGGUUAAGCUGAAGAGGCGGAGCCGCAGCGAAAGCGAGUCUGAAUAGGGCGUUUAGUACGUGGUCGUAGACCCGAAACCAGGUGAUCUACCCAUGUCCAGGGUGAAGUUCAGGUAACACUGAAUGGAGGCCCGAACCCACGCACGUUGAAAAGUGCGGGGAUGAGGUGUGGGUAGCGGAGAAAUUCCAAUCGAACCUGGAGAUAGCUGGUUCUCCCCGAAAUAGCUUUAGGGCUAGCCUUAAGUGUAAGAGUCUUGGAGGUAGAGCACUGAUUGGACUAGGGGUCCUCAUCGGAUUACCGAAUUCAGUCAAACUCCGAAUGCCAAUGACUUAUCCUUAGGAGUCAGACUGCGAGUGAUAAGAUCCGUAGUCAAAAGGGAAACAGCCCAGACCGCCAGCUAAGGUCCCAAAGUGUGUAUUAAGUGGAAAAGGAUGUGGAGUUGCUUAGACAACUAGGAUGUUGGCUUAGAAGCAGCCACCAUUUAAAGAGUGCGUAAUAGCUCACUAGUCGAGUGACUCUGCGCCGAAAAUGUACCGGGGCUAAAUACACCACCGAAGCUGCGGAUUGAUACUAAUGGUAUCAGUGGUAGGGGAGCGUUCUAAGGACAGUGAAGUCAGACCGUAAGGACUGGUGGAGUGCUUAGAAGUGAGAAUGCCGGUAUGAGUAGCGAAAGACGGGUGAGAAUCCCGUCCACCGAAUGCCUAAGGUUUCCUGAGGAAGGCUCGUCCGCUCAGGGUUAGUCAGGACCUAAGCCGAGGCCGACAGGCGUAGGCGAUGGACAACAGGUUGAUAUUCCUGUACCACCUCUUUAUCGUUUGAGCAAUGGAGGGACGCAGAAGGAUAGAAGAAGCGUGCGAUUGGUUGUGCACGUCCAAGCAGUUAGGCUGAUAAGUAGGCAAAUCCGCUUAUCAUAAAGGCUGAGCUGUGAUGGGGAAGCUCCUUAUGGAGCGAAGUCUUUGAUUCCCCGCUGCCAAGAAAAGCUUCUAGCGAGAUAAAAGGUGCCUGUACCGCAAACCGACACAGGUAGGCGAGGAGAGAAUCCUAAGGUGUGCGAGAGAACUCUGGUUAAGGAACUCGGCAAAAUGACCCCGUAACUUCGGGAGAAGGGGUGCUUUCUUAACGGAAAGCCGCAGUGAAUAGGCCCAAGCGACUGUUUAGCAAAAACACAGCUCUCUGCGAAGCCGUAAGGCGAAGUAUAGGGGGUGACACCUGCCCGGUGCUGGAAGGUUAAGGAGAGGGGUUAGCGUAAGCGAAGCUCUGAACUGAAGCCCCAGUAAACGGCGGCCGUAACUAUAACGGUCCUAAGGUAGCGAAAUUCCUUGUCGGGUAAGUUCCGACCCGCACGAAAGGUGUAACGAUUUGGGCACUGUCUCAACCAGAGACUCGGUGAAAUUAUAGUACCUGUGAAGAUGCAGGUUACCCGCGACAGGACGGAAAGACCCCGUGGAGCUUUACUGUAGCCUGAUAUUGAAUUUUGGUACAGUUUGUACAGGAUAGGCGGGAGCCAUUGAAACCGGAGCGCUAGCUUCGGUGGAGGCGCUGGUGGGAUACCGCCCUGACUGUAUUGAAAUUCUAACCUACGGGUCUUAUCGACCCGGGAGACAGUGUCAGGUGGGCAGUUUGACUGGGGCGGUCGCCUCCUAAAGUGUAACGGAGGCGCCCAAAGGUUCCCUCAGAAUGGUUGGAAAUCAUUCGUAGAGUGCAAAGGCAUAAGGGAGCUUGACUGCGAGACCUACAAGUCGAGCAGGGACGAAAGUCGGGCUUAGUGAUCCGGUGGUUCCGCAUGGAAGGGCCAUCGCUCAACGGAUAAAAGCUACCCCGGGGAUAACAGGCUUAUCUCCCCCAAGAGUCCACAUCGACGGGGAGGUUUGGCACCUCGAUGUCGGCUCAUCGCAUCCUGGGGCUGUAGUCGGUCCCAAGGGUUGGGCUGUUCGCCCAUUAAAGCGGUACGCGAGCUGGGUUCAGAACGUCGUGAGACAGUUCGGUCCCUAUCCGUCGUGGGCGUAGGAAAUUUGAGAGGAGCUGUCCUUAGUACGAGAGGACCGGGAUGGACGCACCGCUGGUGUACCAGUUGUUCUGCCAAGGGCAUAGCUGGGUAGCUAUGUGCGGAAGGGAUAAGUGCUGAAAGCAUCUAAG
rnacentral:rRNA from 1 species